CCUACGGGAGGCAGCAGUGAGGAAUAUUGGUCAAUGGGCGAGAGCCUGAACCAGCCAAGUCGCGUGAAGGAUGACGGCCCUACGGGUUGUAAACUUCUUUUGUCAGGGAGCAAUUUAGUCCACGUGUGGGCUUCGCUAGAGUACCUGAAGAAAAAGCCUCGGCUAACUCCUUGCCCGCAGCCGCGGUAAUACGGAGGAUGCGAGCGUUUUCCGGAUUUAUUGGGUUUAAAGGGUGCGUAGGCGGAAUAGCAAGUCAGCGGUAAAAAUUCGGGGCUCAACCCCGUCGUGCCGUUGAAACUGAUGUUCUUGAGUGGGCGAGAAGUAGGCGGAAUGCGUGGUGUAGCGGUGAAAUGCAUAGAUAUCACGCAGAACUCCGAUUGCGAAGGCAGCAGACCGGCGCCCAACUGACGCUGAAGCACGAAAGCGUGGGUAUCGAACAGGAUUAGAUACCCUAGUAGUC
rnacentral:rRNA from 1 species